AUUGAACGCUGGCGGCAGGCCUAACACAUGCAAGUCGAGCGGAUGAAGGGAGCUUGCUCCUGGAUUCAGCGGCGGACGGGUGAGUAAUGCCUAGGAAUCUGCCUGGUAGUGGGGGAUAACGUCUGGAAACGGGCGCUAAUACCGCAUACGUCCUGAGGGAGAAAGUGGGGGAUCUUCGGACCUCACGCUAUCAGAUGAGCCUAGGUCGGAUUAGCUAGUUGGUGGAGUAAAGGCCUACCAAGGCGACGAUCCGUAACUGGUCUGAGAGGAUGAGCGGUCACCCUGGAGCUUAGCCACGGUCCAGACUCCUACGGUAGGCAGCAGUGUGGAAUAUUGGACAAUGGUCGAAAGCCUGAUCCAGCCAUGCCGCGUGUGUGAAGACGGUCUUCGGAUUGUAAAGCACUUUAAGUUGGGAGGAAGGGCAGUAAGUUAAUACCUUGCUGGUUUGACGUUACCAACAGAAUAAGCACCGGCUAACUUCGUG
rnacentral:rRNA from 1 species